CCAGCUGUAAACGGUGCGCACUUGGUGUGGGGGGAAUUGACCCCCUCCGUGCCGGAGCUAACGCGUUAAGUGCGCCGCCUGGGGAGUACGGCCGCAAGGCUAAAACUCAAAGAAAUUGACGGGGGCCCGCACAAGCGGAGGAGCAUGUGGCUUAAUUCGAUGCAACGCGAAGAACCUUACCUGGGCUUGACAUGCAGCUGCACGUCCUGCGAAAGCAGGAUUCCUUCGAGGGUGCUGCACAGGUGC
rnacentral:rRNA from 1 species